rnacentral:lncRNA from 1 species
AUUUGCAGUUCAUUGGUAGCCUAUGUCAGAUUCUCAUAGUCCUGCCAGUGUGAGACCUUUAGGGAAGGACUUUCCCUAUUGUAGCCUUUUAGUUUUUCGGUUGAGGGGUUUUGCCUAAUAUUCGUAAAUACUGAAAGCAAUCUCUAAGAAGGCUUGCUUUGUCAAGAAAGCACCUUACCAAAUACAAGUGGAUCAAUCCUCCAGCUCAAUGGCUGCUUCAUACUCUGUGCCUCAAAGCAUUGACCACCCUAGCACCAACAACCAGCAGGGUGAGGAAGGACCAGCAGAUUUCACUAGUGCCAGGAUUAAACGUUUGUUUCCACUUCUCAAACCACCCACCAUGUCUGAGAGUUCAAAACACUGCUGUGCCUGCUUGCAUCCCCCCUGCCAGGGUACAUGCUUCUGCAAAACCUGUCAGAGAAGAUGGGCAGGGAAGGCAAGGCAAGGCAAAGCAAGAUCAAGAUGCUGUGCUGCUGGGCCAGAAGUGAGUAGAACAUCUUGUUACGGAAAUAGCCACAAAAACGCUCCUCCCUGCAUUAGAAAAGCAGCUAUUUAGAGCAGGAUCAAUUGCCAGUCCUCUUUGCCGCUGUUGUCAUUUGGAUGUGGCAUGUGCAAAUAAUAUUUCCUCCUGAAAGAAAACUUCCAGCAAUGACAGCAGUGCUCUGGCAUAUCCUCUCCCAAAGGGGAGAAAUCAGCUCAUCCAUAGAAACGGCAUCUCCCUCUGGAAAGAAUCCCCAGGAUCUGGGUUUUGUUUUUCCUCUAAGACUUUAGGCAAGUGGAUUUUGAUCUGCUAAUGACAUCAGGGUGGUGCAAUUUCUAAGACGCGUUUUGACAUUGGAGUUGUAUAGGACAGUGCUCUUGUUAAAGUAAAAAUACACAGAGAAAACAAACAAACCUGUGUGACGUAGAGCAAAGCCCACUUUCCCCUAAGAUAUGCGUAAUAGAACUGGCAGUACAUGCCUUCAAAAGAGAUUGCUUUAACUUUAAUGAUGUCAGUGAGCAAAAAUACUUUUAUUCUUGGCAAAUCACAGUUGGGUGGUAUCUUUCAAAAAACUGGAGUUAUCAAACAUAGCUUUUCCAGGGAGGUGAACCCAUGCUUGGCUUAAGCAUCCUCAAACUUUCCUCUAGUUGAGAUUCACAUCUGUAUCCCUGCUCUACAGCUCAAGCCUGUUGCUGUUUGUUAUUGUUUGCAUUACUUCAGGGCCCACUUAGGGAUUGUACAAAAUGUUCUUGUAAAAAAAAUAAAUAUUGAAGUGUCCGUACA